GGCGGAUUACCCGAGCGGCCAAAGGGGGCUGACUGUAAAUCAGCUGGCACUGCCUACGGGGGUUCGAAUCCCUCAUCCGCCA
rnacentral:tRNA from 2 species